CCUCCCGCAGCACCUCGGUCCCCUGGAGCCUCAUCCCCGGGCGGGGGUGGCAGAGGGGACACGGGGCAGAAGCGUGUCCCCUCCCCCGGCAGGAGCUGCCUCACACCGCGGGAGCGCUGAGCCCCCGGCCCCGCCGCAGCGCUGGUGGCCCGGGCUCGUCCCCCUUGCCGGGAUCCUGUGGCUCUGUGUGCUGGUACAGCGACACGGCAGCAGAAACCUCCGUGUGCCUGGCUACUGAGGGCCAGGAGAAGCUGUUCCCUGCGCCGAGUGACGCAAACCCAGCUUUGCUUAGGAGUAAUUUAGGAUAGGAGUGAAUUUAAAAACAAAACCAAACACCAAACCAGCUUUAUUUUGAAUUUUAGAGGAGGUUUUUUUGAAAGUGUUUUGAAAGUCUCAGAAGAGGAACAGUGACUUUUUAAUGAGUGACAUCAUGAUCAUGUUGUCCCUCUGUCUUUAGGAAGUGCUGAGGACAUUGCAGAAUAAAAUGCACGAUUGUAAUGGUACGUGGUCGUGGCCAGCAGUCUCACAUCAGAAACUGGCUUUGAUGCUUUUGCAGACAAGCAUUCGCUGUUCUGCUGAAGACGUCACAGCGCAAUGGAAAAACCCAGACUUGCCUGGGAGGCUUUGCUGCUUAUUCACAUGUGGAGAGUUCCUUCAGUUACCUGAGACACAGAAGUGGAGUAGUGAGAAGUCUGGAAGAAGCAAUGAUCCUGGCCCUGGGAAUGAAUAUACAGUAGUGGAGCAGCCAGUGCACAUCCAGGGGGGAGCACACACAGUGUGCAAUUGCCUGAGGAGAGGAGACAUCUGGGCAGGCCAGUGCUGGGGUGGAAUGUAAAGAACAUAAAUUGCAGACAGUAUCAAGGGAUGGCAGUGGUGACCAAACAUCCUGUCCCAUGCCAGAAUUUAAGCUCACAGUCCUGCCACUCAAGAAUACUUCUGGAGACACAGGUGCACUUUUUUGAAGGAGAUCCAUGCUGAAAGGACUUAAUUCCAGGAGGACUGCAGCUGGUGGAUGAGUUAUGUUUGAACAAGGAAACCCUUGAAGGCAUGGUGGGCACUGGGGAACUUGUGCUGGAGAAAGUAUUCACUAAAAAGACAGUGCACCAAAUUUGUGCAUCAUAGUAACAUUGCACCUUUAUUGUUCAAUAAAAAUCUGUAUUUGAUUUCAGCAGA